UGCCAAGAAAAUAGGGCCCGAGGGUAUUACAGAGAUACAAGAGGAGUGGUCUGACAACAAUAUAUCAAUUACUGCAAUUUUGAAGGCGGCAGAUUCUUCGAUUGCAGCAAUGGAGGCUGGAAGGUGGUUCCAGUCACUACUUGUUUGCGGCAAAAAA
rnacentral:lncRNA from 1 species